rnacentral:rRNA from 1 species
CACGUAGGGGGCAAGCGUUGUCCGGAUUCAUUGGGCGUAAAGAGCUCGUAGGCGGCUCAGUAAGUCGGGUGUGAAAUUUCAGGGCUCAACCCUGAAACGCCACCCGAUACUGCUGUGGCUAGAGUCCGGUAGGGGAGCGUGGAAUUCCUGGUGUAGCGGUGAAAUGCGCAGAUAUCAGGAGGAACACCAGCGGCGAAGGCGGCGCUCUGGGCCGGAACUGACGCUGAGGAGCGAAAGCAUGGGUAGCGAACAGG